AGCUAUCUCAGCUCUUUUAGAAUUUUUCUAGCAGGUUUUCUGACUUUGGUCAGAAAACCCAU
ensembl:snRNA Gm22815 U7 small nuclear RNA